UACGUAGGGCGCAAGCGUUGUCCGGAAUUAUUGGGCGUAAAGAGCUCGUAGGCGGUUUGUUGCGUCUGUCGUGAAAGCCCACAGCUUAACUGUGGGUCUGCGGUGGAUACGGGCAGACUAGAGGCAGGUAGGGGAGAAUGGAAUUCCCGGUGUAGCGGUGAAAUGCGCAGAUAUCGGGAGGAACACCGGUGGCGAAGGCGGCAUCCUGGACCAACACUGACACUGAGGAGCGAAAGCCAGGGGAGCAAACGGG
rnacentral:rRNA from 1 species